rnacentral:rRNA from 1 species
UGGGGAAUAUUGCACAAUGGGGGAAACCCUGAUGCAGCGACGCCGCGUGGAGGAUGACGGCCUUCGGGUUGUAAACUCCUUUUGUCAGGGACAAUGGUGAUGGUACCUGACGAAUAAGCCACGGCUAACUCUGUGCCAGCAGCCGCGGUAAGACAGAGGUGGCGAGCGUUGUUCGGAAUUACUGGGCUUAAAGGGCGCGUAGGCGGUGGUGUAAGUCUGGGGUGGAAUGCUACAGCUCAACUGUAGAGCUGCCUUGGAAACUGCAUUACUUGAGUCGGUGAGGGGAAGGCGGAAUUCCUGGUGUAGCGGUGAAAUGCGUAGAUAUCAGGAGGAAGGUCUGUGGCGAAGGCGGCCUUCUGGCACUUGACUGACG